UAAUAAGUGUUUUAUGGCACUUUUUAAAUCCAUAUCCACCUUGUGUGCAAUGUCAGUCGAUCUUCUUCAUGGAGAUCGACCAAACAUCAACCUUUAUCUUUUAAACUUUAUGUCUGAAAUAUUAUCGUACUUAACACUUAAACAUAUA
rnacentral:misc_RNA from 1 species